AUUGAACGCUGGCGGCAGGCCUAACACAUGCAAGUCGAGCGGAUGAAGGGAGCUUGCUCCUGGAUUCAGCGGCGGACGGGUGAGUAAUGCCUAGGAAUCUGCCUGGUAGUGGGGGAUAACGUCCGGAAACGGGCGCUAAUACCGCAUACGUCCUGAGGUAGAAAGUGGGGGAUCUUCGGACCUCACGCUAUCAGAUGAGCCUAGGUCGGAUUAUCUAGUUGGUGGGGUAAAGGCCUACCAAGGCGACGAUCCGUAACUGGUCUGAGAGGAUGAUCAGUCGCACUGGAACUGAGACACGGUCCAGACUCCUACGGGAGGCAGCAGUGGGGAAUAUUGGACAAUGGGCGAAAGCCUGAUCCAGCCAUGCCGCGUGUGUGAAGAAGGUCUUCGGAUUGUAAAGCACUUUAAGUUGGGAGGAAGGGCAGUAAGUUAAUACCUUGCUGUUUUGACGUUACCAACAGAAUAAGCACCGGCUAACUUCGUG
rnacentral:rRNA from 1 species